AGUUAACCUAGAGAAAAACAGAGAAGAGAAAAGCCUCCUCCGCCUUGAAUCGCGCCGGACUUCUCCACCACCAUCCCGUCUAUUUCUCUUCCCCUAUUCAGCCCUCCAUCCUCCAUUAAAGAAUUAUUUAAAAGCUUGAAGCUUCACACCCGUUGCCAAAAAUUGGCAAGGAUUCAGCUGACUACGAGGCACUUCUCCAUAACAAUCCAUUUUUCUUCUUGGAAAUGAAGUUGAAUUGGAUAAAUAUUGUUUCUAAUUUGAGACAGUCAAGGCAUAUUAUCUCCCUAAAUACCAAAAAGAGGUUUCCGGAGUCAUAUUUGUGUAGAAUUGCUGCAUUUUCUGAUCGUAGUUUAGUUAGGGAGUAUUGUUCUGGGAGGAAUGGCAGGGAAGAUUCAAAUGUUUGGACUGAGGAAAUUGAUUAUUUAGAUGAAUCAGGCAGCGUUAUUUACUCUGGUAAGGGGAUUAGGUCCGUGGAACCAAGGAUUGAUGAUCAUGUGAUGGCUGGAGGGGUGAGGAAGCCGAUCAUGAAUGUUGCAGCUGUGGCGAAGAUAGUUGAGGUGGUGAAGAGGUGGAGAUGGGGGCCUGAGAUGGAGGCUCAAUUAGAUAAGCUGCCAUUUUUGCCAAAUAUGACUCACAUCACUCAGGCAUUGAAGAUAAUUGAGGAUAGUGAUGCCGUGUUGAGUUUGUUCCGUUGGGGGAAGAGGCAGCCGUGGUAUUCACCUAGUGAUGAAUGCUAUGUUAUGCUGUUUGAUAAGUUGAAUUUGAGUAGGGAUUUCGAGGGUAUUCAGUCUGUUUUUGAGGAGAUGGUUAGCAAUUUGGGUGCGAAUGAGGUUUCCUCGUUUGGUGCAUAUAAUAGGGUUCUUCAAUAUCUAGCGAAGUCGGAGAAAUUGGAGAUUACUUUCUGUUGCUUCAAGAAAGUUCAGGAGCUGGAUUGUAAACUUGAUACUCAGACAUAUAAUACACUUAUAACCCUGUUUCUGACUAAAGGGCUACCUUAUAAGGCGUUUGAGAUCUAUGCAAACAUGGAGAAGGACGGAUGCUUGUUGGAUGCUUCGACCUAUGAUUUGAUGAUACCCAGUCUUGCAAAGUCUGGCCGUCUCGAUGCUGCUUUCAACCUCUUCCAGGAAAUGAAAGCAAAGAAUUACCGGCCAACUUCUGGCAUAUUUGUUUGUUUGAUCGAUACAAUGGGGAAGGCAGGAAGGUUGGAUACAGCAAUGAAGGUGUACAUGGAAUUGCAAGGUUUUGGGCUGAGGCCAUCUGGUGCUAUGUUUGUUUCUUUGAUUGAGUCGUUUGUUAAGGCUGGGAAGCUUGAGACAGCUUUGAAGCUAUGGGAUGAGAUGAAAAGGUCGGGGCUUAGGCCUAACUAUGGUUUGUACACUAUGAUUGUUGAGGCUCAUGCUAAAUCGGGGAAGCUUGAGAUUGCAAUGUCAAUUUUCUCAGACAUGGAAAAGGCUGGAUUUUUACCCACGCCAUCAACCUACUCCUCCUUAUUGGAGAUGCAUGCGGCUUCUGGACAAGUAGACGCUGCAAUGAAAUUGUACAACUCCAUGGCUAAUGCGGGCUUGAGGCCAGGUCUGAGCACUUACACGGGUCUUCUGACUUUACUAGCGAAAAAGAAGCUUGUGGAUGUGGCUGCAAAAGUCUUGCUUGAGAUGAAGGCAAUGGGUUAUUCAGUUGAAGUGAAUGCUAGUGAUGUUCUCCUAGUUUUCAUAAAAGAUGGCUCUGUUGAUCUUUCAUUGAGAUGGCUGCGCUUUAUGGGCUCAUCAGGGAUUCGAACAAACAACUUCAUCAUUAGGCAGCUAUUUGAGUCAUGCAUGAAGAAUAGCUUGUAUGAGUCUGCCAAGCCUCUACUUGAAACAUAUGUAAACGCUGCUGCUAAGGUUGAUCUCAUACUUUACACCUCGAUUCUAGCUCAUCUUGUUAGAUGCCAGGAGGAGCACAACGAGAGGCAUCUGAUGUCGAUCUUGAGUGCUACAGAUCAUAAGGCUCAUGCUUUCCUCUGCGGGCUCUUCACUGGGACAGAACAGAGGAAACAACCAGUUUUAUCAUUCGUGAGAGAGUUUUUCCAAGGCAUUGAUUAUGAAUUGGAGGAAGGAGCUGCCCGGUACUUUGUCAAUGUGCUCCUCAACUACCUCGUCCUGAUGGGGCAGAUAAAUCGUGCUCGUUGUGUCUGGAAAGUUGCAUAUGAGAAGAAGCUUUUUCCUAAAGCGAUUGUGUUUGAUCAACACAUCGCUUGGUCCCUGGACGUGAGGAAUCUCUCUGUCGGGGCAGCUCUUAUAGCAGUCGUGCACACGCUCCACAGGUUCAGGAAACGGAUGUUGUACUAUGGUGUUGUGCCACGACGGGUUAAACUAGUCACAGGGCCAACUAUGAGAAUAGUGAUAGCGCAGAUGCUUGGUUCCCUCGAAUCUCCAUUUGAGGUUAGCAAGGUGGUGUUGAGGGCCCCCGGUGACUCAAUUCUUGAGUGGUUUAAGAAACCAAUUGUGCAGCAAUUUCUCUUGAAUGAGAUUCCAUCAAGAUCUGACAUCUUGAUGCAUAAGCUCAACACCAUCUUCCCUAGCUCAGCACCUGAAAUCAGAUCUUUGUCUCCUCCUAAGCCCCCUGUUUCUGGAAGGGGAUUGAGAAUGAACACAUGAGAAUGAUCACAGACAGAGCAUGUCACGGGUAAGGGCCAGGUGUGUCGCACUAGCACCAGCUGAAGAGGUGGGCCUCUAAAAAUUCUCCUUAUCUUUAUAUCAACGAAGAGGUAUGUGCUUAAUGCUUAUGCAAUUGUAAUGUGUGAACAGUAAUCCUUUUUCUUCCCAAUUUUUUCAUAUUUUCAACUUUCAUGGUCCUGUGCAUCUUAAGUAGUUUUAAGUUUGUAAACAUCUAAUUAGGUUGCUUGGUUCCAUUCUUUCUUGUUCUUAUAUUUCUUUGUAGACUGUUGAGAAGAUUAAGAAAGUUGCAAGGGCUUUUAUGGCACUCAGUAUAGCUCUUUUGGUUCUAGUUAUGAUAGUCAAAUAUCUACAGGUAAAACAAAUAAUAUGGUUCUCAACAGAUGUGAUGUUCGGGAAGUUAGGGGGACAUUUCUCAUGUUUGUGACUUAUGGUCUAGUCUAACCAAUGUCAAUACUCUCUUUCCCCUGAUAAAACUUAAUCUUGUUUCAUUCAAUUGACAGAAGGUAUGCUUCUGUGCUUAGAUUCUUAGAAGCCUUGGAUAUUCUUCUGUCUCCAUUAAAAUGGAAGUGAGGCUAUCACUUGAGCCAAUACUGAGGUAUACUUAUUUGUCGGAGCUAUUACAUGAAAUAUACAUAUUUGUUUUGUUAUAUGAGAUGAGGAUGGUAUAUAAGGUUUCAUUGUUUCUUAUAGUGAACUGAGCAUAAUUUGCCUAUUAGUCCUUACCACAAAUACUAAUGCUUAAGUUGGUGUAAUUAGUCUGAAUUCUUGUGGUUGAAGUAUGUAUCUUGAUCAUAUUCACGUCUUUAUAAUGUGAUGCAGCUUUUUUCUUGGUGGCACUUAUUUUGUGUGUGCUAGGCUGAUUUCUGCUUUAUCUAGAGAUCUCGUGGAUGAUUUUACAACAUUUCUUUUAAGAAUUAUUGAUUCUUCGGAAUUGCUUCUUCAAAGUGGUGCUGAUAAGGAUCCAGAGCUAAUUAAGCAGGCCCAAGUGUUCUUUCAUGUAUCUAUGGUUCUUCAUUUAUUUUCCUUAUCCUGGAAAGUUGUAUGAAAUUGCUGUUGUUGAUGCAGAUAUUCACAUCAUGCUCAUACAUAAUGAUGUACCUGCAGAAGUAUCUUAUAAAAGGCAUAUUCCAUAGGAGGUGUUUAGUUUGCAAGAUUGUAUCCGGGAUUAAAUUUAUAGUGCGUUUGGUUUAUGAUAUUCAAUCCCACAACUCAAUCCUAGAUGGAUAGUCAUGGGAUAAUUAGUCAUAGCUAACCCCCUAUGACUAAAAUAAUCUCACAAUUCAAUCAUAGACUAUAUCUUGGUAUUAUUUUAUCUUGGAAACCGAAUACCAUGUGUUGCUAUAAUAAUAUUACGAUAUUUGUUGUAUAAAUUAAAUUAUCUUUU